rnacentral:rRNA from 1 species
AUCAAAUCUUUGAACGCACAUUGCGCUCCUUGGUAUUCCGGGGAGCAUGCCUGUUUCAGAAUCAUUUAAAUCUCUCGACCUUUCUCUGAACGCGAAAGCUGUUUUGAGAAUGUCGGAUAUGGACCUUGUGACUUCUUCUUCAAGGAGGCACUGGUGCU